UACGUAGGGUGCAAGCGUUGUCCGGAAUUAUUGGGCGUAAAGAGCUCGUAGGCGGUUUGUCGCGUCUGCUGUGAAAUCCCGAGGCUCAACCUCGGGCCUGCAGUGGGUACGGGCAGACUAGAGUGCGGUAGGUGAGAUUGGAAUUCCUGGUGUAGCGGUGGAAUGCGCAGAUAUCAGGAGGAACACCGAUGGCGAAGGCAGAUCUCUGGGCCGUAACUGACGCUGAGGAGCGAAAGCGUGGGGAGCGAACAGG
rnacentral:rRNA from 1 species